rnacentral:rRNA from 1 species
ACGAACGCUGGCGGCGUGCUUAACACAUGCAAGUCGAACGGGAUUUAGUAAACGGAAGCCUCGGUGGAAGAUUACUAAUGAGAGCGGCGAACGGGUGAGUAACGCGUGAGCAACCUGCCUAUGACAGUGGGAUAGCCUCGGGAAACCGGGAUUAAUACCGCAUAAAAUCGUAGAAACGCAUGUUUCAACGGUCAAAGAUUUAUCGGUCAUAGAUGGGCUCGCGUCUGAUUAGCUAGUUGGUGAGAUAACAGCCCACCAAGGCGACGAUCAGUAGCCGGUCUGAGAGGAUGAACGGCCACAUUGGAACUGAGACACGGUCCAAACUCCUACGGGAGGCAGCAGUGGGGAAUAUUGCACAAUGGGGGAAACCCUGAUGCAGCGACGCCGCGUGAACGAAGAAGGUAUUCGUAUCGUAAAGUUCUGUCCUAUGGGAAGAUAAUGACAGUACCAUAGAAGAAAGCGCCGGCUAAAUACGUG